AUUGAACGCUGGCGGCAGGCCUAACACAUGCAAGUAGAACGAGUGGCGGACGGGUGAGUAAUGUCUGGGAAACUGCCAGAUGGAGGGGGAUAACUACUGGAAACGGUAGCUAAUACCGCAUACCAUCAGAUGUGCCCAGAUUGGAUUCGCUUGUUGGUGUGGUAACGGCUCACCAAGGCGACGACCCCUAGCUGGUUUGAGAGGAGGACCAGCCCAACUGGAACUGAGACACGUUCCAGACUCCUACGGGAGGCAGCAGUGGGGAAUAUUGCACAAUGGGCGCAAGCCUGAUGCAGCCAUGCCGCUUGUAUGAAGAAGGCCUUCGGGUUGUAAAGUACUUUCAGCGUGGAGGCGUUACCCGCAGAAGAAGCACCGGCUAACUCCGUGCCAGCAGCCGCGGUAAUAC
rnacentral:rRNA from 1 species